GAGCUGCGUUGGGAGCGGCCGGAAACAGAGAAAGAGGGAGCGCGCGAGAUGGACAAAUUAUUAUUUAACUAUUUAGCAUAGCAGCUAAACUCCUGCUCAAAACAUGUAAAAACUGCAGCUAAUGGACAGUUAAACCACAUGUACAUCUUCCCUGAGGAAAUUCUGUAGGCCUAAAAUAAAAGAAUAAGAAGAAAGCUGGAUGAGGAAAGACAAUGAUGUAUUAAAAUUUUAUGAAACUCCCGACAGCAGCAGCAGUAAUGUAGACUACAUCAACCAAAGACAUGAAUCGCUGAGCAAGACAGAGAACCAUGUGGAAAUUGAACGUGAUAAGCGGCCACAUGCUGGAGGUGAUGGUGAGAGACAGACAGAGAGGAAAUUUCACCAGGGAAAGCAAGGCUGGUAAGUGAUUUUUAGGCUACACAUUGACCCUCCCACAGUCAGUUUUUAUUAACUGGAUUAGCAUCAUGAUGAUGAGAAAUAUGUAUUUUAUAUUGCAGUCAAAACGAACACUCGCUUCCCAAUUAAAUUUAAAAACAGCAUAAAAAUAAAUAAAUCAGCCAAAACGCUCCAUAACAGCGAUUCCACCUCGUUAUGCACAGCAAGUUCAUUUCUGCAGAACAGUAACAGAAGGAAACUGAGGGAAAAAACAUCCACCGACACUGGUUUUUAAUUGUGUUGUGAAAAAAGUGACACUACAGGUGAUACUUUAACAAAGUAAGGUGAACUUUAAAGAAAUGCAAACAUGCCUCUUUAGGACCUCUGACAGCUGCUAGAUAGUUUAUAGUAGCUUAAAUUUAGGUACACUGUGAAAACUUAGAUUAUUGUAAUGCGCUACUGUCUGGAUGUUACUGCAGUCACUUAAAUAAACUUCAGCUAGUUCAAAAUGCUGCAGCCAGGGUCCUUACUAAAACUAGAAAAUUUGACCAUAUUAGUCCAGUCCUGUCAGCACUGCACUGGCUUCCAGUCAAAUUCCGCAUAGACUAUAAAAUUCUCCUGUAAACGUAUAAAGCCCUACACGGGCUCGCUCCUGAGUAUUUACGAGACCUCAUCUCCUAUUAUGAACCACCACGAUUACUUAGAUCUCAGGGUGCUGGUGUCUUAGUAGUCCCUAAAAUUCAGAGGAGCUCUGCAGGAGGAAGAGCUUUCUCUUAUAAAGCGCCUCAACUCUGGAAUAAUCUCCCCGAAUAUGUUCGGGACUCAGACACAGCCUCAAUCUUUAAGUCUAGACUGAAAACUUACUUGUUUAGUUUAGCUUUUGGUAAUUAAUGUUUUUUCCUUUAGAUAAGGCUGCAGAUUCAGGGGUUCAUGGACAGAGGGAAUUGUGGUAAACUGAGAUGCUGGUGCUGUUCUCCCACUGCACACGGUCACUCAGGUUUGUGGACGGUGGAGUGGGUGGAUGCCAGUGUUUCAGGGAGCCUCCAUGUCUGUUACCUUCUGGCUCUCUGCCUUUAGUUAGGCUGUUUUAUUCAGUUCUGCCGGAGUCAUUUGCCACACUCUGAUAAUGUUUUAAUAUUCUCAGUUUUGCAUAAAUCCAGUCAAAACUAAUUCCAUCUCUCUGCUUUCCUCGGAGUUACUGACUGCCCACCUAUCUGACCCGAUACCGAUGUUGGACCCUCAGGCUCUCGCGUCUCCUGUCCGGCCAGACUGAUGGAAGUUUCUGAAGUCAGCUCUUCUCCACCACCACCACAGAUCAGCUGCUCAUCGUCCAUCUUAUUCUCCACUACUGAUUACAUCCAAGCCAUUAGUGGCGCUAUUAUACUCCUGAAUACAUAAAACCUAUAUGGAUGUAUAAAAGACUUUUUAAAUUUUAAUUUAAAAGCCGUUUGACCAGUGGUAGGAUGGUCCCCCCUCAAAUGUGAGUCUUGGUCCUCCCAAGGUUUCUUCCUCCUCCUGCAGCUCUGAGGGAGUUUUUCCUUGCCUCCGCGCUCACUGGGGGUUCUGUAUUCUGUAUUUUCUAUGUGUAAUGUUUUGCCUGAUUCUUUGUCCUGUAAUCAUGUUUCUGUAAAGCUGCUUUGUGCCAACACCUGUUGUAAAAAGCGCUAUACAAAUAAAUUUGAUUUGAUGAUUUGAUUUGAAAA